ensembl:lncRNA
UUUUUUUUUCCAUUAGAGUUUUCUGUCAAUUUUCUACUGUACCGCAAGGUGACCUAGUCACACAUACAUAUGUACAUCUUUUUUUCUCACAUUAUCAUGCUCCAUCAUAAAUGACUAGAUAUAGUUCCCAGUGCUAUACAGCAGGAUCUCAUUGCUUAUCAUAAUAAAAAUUAAAAAACAAAUAAAAGAAGAUCUAAAAAUUUUUUUUUAAUAAAAAUAAAAUGAAAUCUCUCUCCUGUCAGCUAAGGCUAAGGGAGUAAGCAAUGUGAAAAUGUCAGAUGCUAUCACAGGGUCAGUUUGGGCAUAAUCUCACAAGCUUUACCUGGUACUCUGAUACACAGCUGCAUUUUUCACACAUUCUGAAGAUUGGCUCUGUAUGAAAAUCCACACUUACAACUAAUGUCCUUGCAGAGAGUUUCUGCAUGUGUCCCUUAUAUAAAUACAUAUAAAAAGGUGAAUAGAUUUGUCAUACCUAUACUCAAAUUAUUUGAACCACAUGAAAAGAAGCCUUUUUCUAACCUGAAUGAACUUGUGAUAGUUUUAUGGAAAUCUUAAUUAGAAAUCUUUGGAGUUACCUGGUGGCCUAGCUAAGGGUCUGGCAUUGUCACUGAUGUGGUGUGGAUUUGAUCUCUGGCCCAGGAACUUCUGCAUGCCAUGGGCAUGGCCUAAAACCUAAUAUAAAAAACAGCCAGAAAUCUUUAAUUAGGAUUAGUAAUAACAAGUGCCCAUGGAAUUUGCAGAAAUAAAUAGAUACCCAAGCCCCCACCUCUACGGAUACUGGUUUAGUAUUGAAAUAGGCCAAACCAUCUAUAAUUUUUAAUGAUCAAAAGUUAUUAGUUAUCACUUAAAAUAUUGUCAUUUAAAUUUAAAAAUAUAUUAGGUUCAGAAAUAUUGUUUUAAGUGUGAUAUCCUAAGUGCAUAUUACUAUAUCCAAUUCCCUGUCUCAGGCUUAUCUUAGAAAUAGCAGUCACCUAUAAACUUCAAAAUUCAGAUUUUCUCCUGAUUUUCUCUUAACCUUUCAUUCAAAUGAAAACCAAUAUCUCCCAUAUCUUUUGCUGCAAACACCUUGGCAGAAGUUUUAAUAAUCAGUAAUAAGAUGAAAAGUGAGUAUCAAGAGGAGAUGGGAAUGGAGUUAAAUAAGAUGAUGAUGAUGCAUAUUUGGCAGUAAGGUUAAUGGAAAAUUUUCCAUUUAUGUAAACCUGUACUCUGCUGAUUACAUUAAUUUGGAUACAUAUGGAACAACUGAAAAAAUUCUGCUAUAGUAUUCUAAUUUCAAAAACAAAUUCUUUUUCAUAGACCAGGUAACUAGCAAUGAUUGUUACUAUACUUUAACUUUAAUAUCUGAAAAGACUUAACAGCAACUUAAUGCCACUAAUUAUGAGGGUGAUGUAUUCUUGCCUUUAAAUAUCAACAAGUGAAUUUUUAAAAUGAGUAACACUGCAUAUAUGCAGGAAUAUCCCCCAUUCUCUCUUAUUUUCUUUCUUUCAUACACACACAUGCACAAUCACUAGAGUUUGAAGCAUUAAAAAAAAGUCUAGUCAAUUAUUUUUAACUUAGGUAUAAUAUAUUUUUCAAUAAUAAAACUGUAGUAGUUAGAAAAUUACCACUUCACCAACAUUUAUGCUGCAAUGUUUUAAGUAAAAUUAAAACAUAAACCCUCUGUUUCCUCAAAAAAAAUGAAGCUUAGAAACUUUACAAAAGUUCUCAAUUUAGUAAUCUGUAUGUAUGUAUGUAUUUUAUGUAGAAUUAUAGAUACUGCUAUGUAGAUUAUACAGAAAACUUCCACAAAUAGAAUGGUGGAGAAAUGAGAUAAGAAAAAAAAACAGCUGAAAUAUAAAAACUAAAAAUGUGUACAAGAAAUAAAAUAUACAUAGCUGAUAAUGCCAGUACUUCUGCAACUGAAUAUAAGACCAUGAUGGUUAUUUAUAAAUCUUUUUUUAAAACCUGCUAUUCAUAAUCCCCUCUCUUUAUCCAAUGCUUCAGUUGUCAUAGCUUUAUACUUGAGAUGGAGAUUAGGUGAUUUGAUUCAAAGCUUCAUACCUAAGGAGCUGGAAUUCUUUGUGGUCCUGUCUAUAUUCUUCCAAUAUUUACCACUGAUGGUGAUGUGGACAUGGAGCUUCAGAGAUGCCCUAAGAUUCUGUUCACGCUUUUCCUGGCUCAGUUUUGUAGCACCAUGUCAUUUCCCCUUAGUCAGAAAGACUUUAACCCCAGUCAACACCCAAAACCUCUGUUGUAAUAGUUCACUCAGGGGCAUGCAGAGCCUAUUUGGAGCAUCCUUCCACGGGGAUUACAAUCUCUACACCAGCAGACCACAAAUUAAUAGGGAUGUGAAGCAAUAUUUUCUGCCAGGAGAUCAUUAUGUCUUUGAAGGAGAGUUACCAUCUCCAUUUCUAUCCUUUUGUUCUUAAACUUAUGUACCUUAGUUAUGGGGAAAAUAUUUUAUAUUGUUCACUGGUUUGGUACAUAUAGCACACCUACUAGAGUGUACUUCAACAUGGACAAGGUGUUGUCUCUUAACUACUUCCAUAACUGUCUUUUUUUUUAACUUUGAAAGGAAAUCAUUUUAGAAGAUGAUCGUUUAUGACAUAACAUGAUGUUGUAUAAGGCAGUCUGAAAUUCCUCAGAGAGUGCUUCUGGCAGAGACAUGAUAAAGAGAAAUACAAUCAAAUCUAGAAUAUGUCUAUUUUACACGUGAGAACAAAAGGUCAGCUCUAGGGAAUGGGUGACAUUCCCCACUGGGACUCAGGAUUGAUUGUUCCUGCUAAAAAGGGAAGCAAUUAGCUGGGAGAGUAGCCAAGUUAGCUUUGUUGAAGUGUAAGUUUUAAUACUGAUCCCAUGAAUAGCCUCUAUCUUUAGGGUGAUCAUUUGUAUGACCCUACUGAGAAAGCAGCACAGGCAAUUUUCUUUAUUUUGGGGAGCUUAUAAGUGAGUAUUUAUAUGGUUAAAUAUUGUCAAAUUCUGAGCCUUGGUCCAUUCAGGUG